AAGAGAUGUGUGAUGACGCAUAUCAAUAAGCGGAGGAAAAGAAACUAACAAGGAUUCCCUUAGUAACGGCGAGUGAAGCGGGAAGAGCUCAAAUUUGAAAUCUUCAAGGUUCUACCUUGACGAAUUGUAGUUUAUAGAAGUGUUUUCUGUUAGUAGAGUGGCAAAAGUUCUUUGGAAUAGGACAUCAUAGAGGGUGAGAAUCCCGUAUUUGGUCAUUCUUUCUAGCUUUAUGAUACACUUUCAACGAGUCGGAUUGUUUGGGAAUGCAGUCCAAAAUGGGUGGUAAAUUUCAUCUAAAGCUAAAUAUUGGCGAGAGACCGAUAGCGAACAAGUACCGUGAGGGAAAGAUGAAAAGAACUUUGAAAAGAGAGUUAAACAGUACGUGAAAUUGUCAAAAGGGAAGCGUUCGACACCAGUGUUGUUUUUCCGAAAAUCAAUUACGAAUGUUUUGUUUUUAAGAAGUUGUGACUUCAUCGGCUUGCUUCUUUCUUUACGAAACUUUCUUAAUGCACUUUUCGGUUAACAAGUCAACAUCAAUUUCUUUUGUUGUAAAAGGGUAUGAGGAAGGUGGCUUUCUUUUCGGAGAAAGUGUUUAUAGCCUUGUACCUCUGCAAUCGGAGAGAUUGAGGUCUGCAGCGUAGAUCCUUCGGGGUUAGAUACAUUUGUGCUAAGUUAUAGCUUUUCAUAGACAACUUGUUGACUAUGUUAAGUCUUGUAGCUUACUCGCUUAUGCUAUUUUACCUACGCUUAGGAUGUUGAUAGUCACAGCGUGUAC
rnacentral:rRNA from 1 species